AAGUCUGACGGAGCAACGCCGCGUGAGUGAUGAAGGUUUUCGGAUCGUAAAACUCUGUUGUUAGGGAAGAACAAGUACGAGAGUAACUGCUCGUACCUUGACGGUACCUAACCAGAAAGCCACGGCUAACUACGUGCCAGCAGCCGCGGUAAUACGUAGGUGGCAAGCGUUGUCCGGAAUUAUUGGGCGUAAAGCGCGCGCAGGCGGUCCUUUAAGUCUGAUGUGAAAGCCCACGGCUCAACCGUGGAGGGUCAUUGGAAACUGGGGGACUUGAGUGCAGAAGAGAAGAGUGGAAUUCCACGUGUAGCGGUGAAAUGCGUAGAGAUGUGGAGGAACACCAGUGGCGAAGGCGACUCUUUGGUCUGUAACUGACGCUGAGGCGCGAAAGCGUGGGGAGCAAACAGGAUUAGAUACCCUGGUAGUCCACGCCGUAAACGAUGAGUGCUAAGUGUUAGAGGGUUUCCGCCCUUUAGUGCUGCAGCAAACGCAUUAAGCACUCCGCCUGGG
rnacentral:rRNA from 2 species